rnacentral:rRNA from 1 species
UGGCUCAGGAUGAACGCUAGCGGCAGGCUUAACACAUGCAAGUCGAGGGGCAACGCGAGUAGCAAUACUUGGCGGCGACCGGCGCAAGGGUGCGUAACGCGUGAGCAACAUGCCCGUAUCAGGGGGAUAAUCCAGGGAAACUUGGUCUAAUACCCCAUAGUAAUUUUGUAAGGCAUCUUAUAAGAUUUAAAGCUUUGGUGGAUACGGAUUGGCUCGCGUGACAUUAGCUGGAUGGUAAGGUAACGGCUUACCAUGGCUAUGAUGUCUAGGGGUUCUGAGAGGAAGGUCUCCCACACUGGAACUGAGACACGGUCCAGACUCCUACGGGAGGCAGCAGUGAGGAAUAUUGGACAAUGGAUGGAAAUCUGAUCCAGCCAUGCCGCGUGAAGGAAGAAGGUCCUAUGGAUUGUAAACUUCUUUUGUAUGGGAGCAAUAAGGCCUACGUGUAGGUUGAUGAGAGUACCAUACGAAUAAGCACCGGCUAACUCCGUGCCAGCCGCUGC